rnacentral:rRNA from 1 species
AUGAACGCUAGCUACAGGCUUAACACAUGCAAGUCGAGGGGAAACGAUGAGAGAGCUUGCUCUCUUAGUCGUCGACCGGCGCACGGGUGAGUAACGCGUAUCCAACCUGCCUCUGACCAAGGGAUAACCCGUCGAAAGUCGGACUAAUACCUUAUGCAGUCGUCGGAAGUCAUCUGAUGACGACGAAAGAUUUCAUCGGUGAGAGAUGGGGAUGCGUCUGAUUAGCUUGUUGGCGGGGUAACGGCCCACCAAGGCGACGAUCAGUAGGGGUUCUGAGAGGAAGGUCCCCCACAUUGGAACUGAGACACGGUCCAAACUCCUACGGGAGGCAGCAGUGAGGAAUAUUGAUCAAUGGGCGUAAGCCUGAACCAGCCAAGUAGCGUGCAGGAUGACGGCCCUAUGGGUUGUAAACUGCUUUUAGGCGGGGAUAAAGUGAGGGACGUGUCCUUCAUUGCAGGUACCGCAUGAAUAAGGACCGGCUAAUUCCGUG